rnacentral:rRNA from 1 species
AACGAACGCUGGCGGCAGGCUUAACACAUGCAAGUCGAACGCCCCGCAAGGGGAGUGGCAGACGGGUGAGUAACGCGUGGGAAUCUACCUAGUUCUACGGAACAACAGAGGGAAACUUCUGCUAAUACCGUAUACACCCUACGGGGGAAAGAUUUAUCGGAAUUAGAUGAGCCCGCGUAAGAUUAGCUAGUUGGUGGGGU